rnacentral:tRNA from 1 species
AGGGGUGAAGCUCAAACGGAUUGAGCGGCGUUUUGCCGAAGCGCUGGUUACGGGUUCGAAUCCCGUCACCCCUA